AUUGCUUCUCGGCUUUUUGGCUAAGAUCAAAGUGUAGUGUCUGUUCUUAUCAGUUUAAAGCAAGACUAGAAUAUCUCUAACUUCAGAAGGCAAGGAUUAUUGAUACAUAUGCAAAUAAAAAAAUGUACACUCCUC
rnacentral:snRNA from 1 species